CCUGCAGGGCUCCGGGCGGCCGUGACCCUGCUGGAGUCCGGGGGGGACCUCCAGCCCCCCGGGGGGUCCCUGCGCCUCCUCUGCCGCGCCUCCGGCUUCAAUUUCGGACAAUUUGGGAUGGGCUGGAUGCGCCAGAGACCCGGGCAGGGGCUGGAAUACGUUGCACAGAUCAACAGCACUGGUGGCAGCACCAUCUAUGCGCCAUCGGUCAAGGGCCGGUUCACGAUCUCCAGGGACAACGGGCAGAGCUCAGUGACGCUGACCAUGAGCAGCCUCAAGGACGAGGAUUCCGCCGUCUAUUUCUGCGCCAAAUCUGAUGAUGGUUAUGUUUAUGGCGCUGCUGUUGUCACUGCAGUUUUGGGUGUCAGCCCCUUUCCUGUCCCCAGCUGUCCCCAGGUGUCCCCAGGUGUCCCCAGCGCCUUCCCCCAGCCCUCCCUGCCCCAGCCCUGCCUCGCACAAAAAAUGAAGGAGACUUGA